UGCUGUGUAGCCUAUCCAAACCGUCAAUAUUUCACUGCGAAAGGGUCGUUAGUCUAGUUUUGUCUACGUUCAAAUAGCAAUAUGGACUCAGAUUGAAAAUAGUCCCACACCCAGGUUGGGAUUCUUACGCUGCAGGGUAAUAUAUUUCAGUCAUAUAAAAUGGAUAAUCAAUUCUUGAGGACGUUUCGUCCUCACCAUUGGAGUAACGCACGCAGCGCAGUGAAAUUCCGCCAGGCCGGGAACUGGGCCCGACCAUGGUCUCGAGAGACUUCUCACCCUUUUCACUAUAUAGCCGCUACACCUAUAAUAUGUACCCGAUCGGCUCCGUGAAGUUCAACCAUCGCCCCCGUCCCCGCCGCCGCCGUCGUCGUCGUCGUUGUUGUUGCUGCUGUUGUUGUUACUGUCAGUUUAAGACGCCUUGUCGAGUAGAACCCGUCUUUCAACCUCUACUCCUCCACAUAUUAUCAACUUUCAUGAUGCGAAAGGUCUCAAGUCUCAAUCCUCGGCACACGUUAAGCCUUCGAGCCAUUCCUGCUGCUCAUCCAAAAUAGCGAACGGAUACAGGUACGUCAGCCCUCGAUCUAACGUCUUACUGCAUGAUCGAUGACAGCGUAUGAGAACGGCGUAUGUACACUGCUACUUCGACUACUGUUUAUGAAUGGCGCCCGGAACCUUGCUCAUAGGCGUUCCUCGUAUACGAUGAUCGGCCAGCAGGCGAUCGGGACCUAGUACGACUUGUCUGUGUCUAUAUUUCUGCGUGUGUGUGUUUGUGGUCAGACCGAUAGCUGGCGGAUCGGAACAAGCAUGAGCUCUCUUCACUUUUAUUCAUGAACCUCGACGGCCAGAGGAGCGCUUCUUUUCUAACCAGGGUUAUAUAACAUUGCUUGUUUCCUUUGUUGGCUCUUUAUAUAAGACUCUGCAGUAAAUGCCAGAAGCAAGUAAAGGAAAUAUAGGGUAUUCGUGUACUAUUAUUUUGAACGGCAACAGAAUGAGCUUUCGCGAAACUGCGCUACUUGCAGCGUUCGUAUCAUUCCUCAAAGACACGAAGAGGUAUUCUACUGGCCAAUGGGAGAAGGUUUCAGUAAACAGCCUUCGUUAAAUAUCCAAAAAAAUGCUGGUGUUUCUCAUCUUCGAAAUUCUAAAAUUGCUACGCCAAGCUGAAGCCACAAGAUGCAGAAGUCCUUCUACCCCUGUUUUUCGUAUAGUUUCGUAAUAGUUAUUUGUUACGAUGAGUAAUUCAAGUUCAUUUAAGUUCAAGCAUGAGAGGGACAUUUUUUUCGCAUUGAAUCAAGUCAUUUUCACGUUGUGCGAAAACGAAGCUUCCGCGAUCGUCGGUCUUCCUUCUCCCAAGGUGUCAUCCUUACGUUACAAAGCUUGGACUGAGCAAACAAAAUGAUGAACGCCUUAUUAUUUGAAGUAACACUUACUUGCAUUUGCAUAAACAUAGGUAAUUAAAAGAUCAUGACCCUACUUAACCUUUUAUUCUGGCGUAUGUACAUGUACAAUGUUAAACAAAGCACGAUAUUUGUUGUAUAGAUGAAAUUAGGACAAAAAUAUUUUUAUCAUGCGACCAAUAGUAGCACUCUAUAUAUUUGGAGACUAAUGCCAAAGC